rnacentral:rRNA from 1 species
UGUCGUCGCAGUCGGAGUCAGUAGGAGACCUGCGGAGUGCUUGUUCUUUGGUAGGACAUAGCAGGAGUGCGAUGAAGGAUGCUUGCAUCCACUUUUAAACUAAACAUUAUUGUAACAAAUGUAGUCUUAUUAUAACAUAAUAAAACUUUCAACAACGGAUCUCUUGGCUCUCGCAUCGAUGAAGAACGCAGCGAAAUGCGAUAAGUAAUGUGAAUUGCAGAAUUCAGUGAAUCAUCGAAUCUUUGAACGCACCUUGCGCUCCUUGGUAUUCCGAGGAGCAUGCCUGUUUGAGUGUCAUGAAACCCUCAAACCCAAGUUUUGGAUUUCGAUCCAUGCUUGAGUUUGGAUUUGGAUGUUUGCCGGUGAUGAACCGACUCAUCUUAAAAGUAUUAGCUUGGAUCUGUCUAUAUGACUGGUUUGACUUGGCAUAAUAAGUAUUUUGCUGAGGACAUCUUCGGAUGGCCAGGACCUAGACUACUGUCUGCUAACUAAACCAUCACUUUAAGUGCAUCUUUGGAUGUUACUCAUUGUGUAACUUUGACAUCUGGCCUCAAAUCAAGUAGACUACCCGCUGAACUUAAGCAUAUCAAUAAGCGGAGGAA